GGAAAGGUGCGAGAGUGGCUGAACCGGGCUCCCUGCUAAGGAGUUGUACCCGUGAGGGUACCGGGGGUUCGAAUCCCCCCCUUUCCG
rfam:Spirochaetaceae bacterium 4572_7 ex4572_7_scaffold_10037, whole genome shotgun sequence.